UAGAUUAUUAUUAUGGUUCAGUUUUAUUAUCACAUGUGAAUAAUUGAGAUUUCAGUUGGUUUUAUGAAUAUAAUAACGCUUUUGGAUUUCUAUAAAGUGGAAAUGAUUUUCUACCCCUAGUGGUAGCGUGUUUUCAAAAGAUAAGAGUUUCCGUGUGGGAAACAAUUUUAAAAGAUUUUUCUGUGGAUUUUGUAUCUUAGUAUUUCAAAAUCAGUUUCCGGGUAGAAAACGUUUUAACUAAUAGAUGUGGAUUUAUGAUUAAACAUCGAAUGUGAAUAUUAAUGUGAAUGGUGAAUGUAUGAAUGUAUGAUUAUUUGUAUAUUCAUUUAGUGGUGGUUGUAUUCCUAUUAAAUAUCUUAUACUUGUGCGACGCCGUGCAAAUAUAGGGGAGACUCUAUCCAUGUGAACAGUGGACUUCCUGUAUUUGUGGCAGAUCUAACAUACCCUGGGGUC
rnacentral:lncRNA from 1 species